UUGUCUCUUUGUUUUAGUGUAAAAAAAGGAAAAUUGCACAAAAAUGUUAUAAAAACGGGAAUAACCUGAACAAAUAUGAACAUCCUGGAAUGUGUUAAGAGUAGUAUGUCUAAUAUUACCAAUAUUUUGCCUGUUAUUAAAUGUUUUGUGUAUUUGUAGAUCCACUGUGAUCUGUAAGUUGUGAUGUAUAAAUGAUAAACUAGUUGCAACAUUG